rnacentral:rRNA from 1 species
AACGUAGGAGACAAACGUUAUCCGGAGUUACUGGGCGUAAAGGGCGUGUAGGUGGUUGCGUAAGUCUGGCGUGAAAUUUUUCGGCUUAACCGGGAAAGGUCGUCGGAUACUGCGUAGCUAGAGGACGGUAGAGGCGUGUGGAAUUCCGGGUGUAGUGGUGAAAUGCGUAGAGAUCCGGAGGAACACCAGUGGCGAAGGCGACACGCUGGGCCGUACCUGACACUGAUGCGCGACAGCAUGGGGAGCGAACAGG